GUAUCAUGGCUCAGGAUGAACGCUAGCUACAGGCUUAACACAUGCAAGUCGAGGGGGCGAGCAUGAACUUAGCUUGCUAAGUUUGAUGGCGACCGGCGCACGGGUGAGUAACACGUAUCCAACCUGCCGAUGACUCGGGGAUAGCCUUUCGAAAGAAAGAUUAAUACCCGAUGGCAUAGUUCUUCCGCAUGGUAGAACUAUUAAAGAAUUUCGGUCAUCGAUGGGGAUGCGUUCCA
rnacentral:rRNA from 1 species